UAGGCUUAGGCUUAGGCUUAAGCUUAGGCUUAGGCUUAGGCUUAGGCUUAGGCUUAGGCUUAGGCUUAGGCUUAGGCUUAGGCUC
ensembl:ncRNA T06A4.6 ncRNA